rnacentral:misc_RNA from 1 species
GAAAUGCGAUAAGUAAUGUGAAUUGCAGAAUUCAGUGAAUCAUCGAAUCUUUGAACGCACAUUGCGCCCGCCAGUAUUCUGGCGGGCAUGCCUGUUCGAGCGUCAUUUCAACCAUCAAGCCCCCGGGCUUGUGUUGGGGACCUGCGGCUGUCGCAGGCCCCGAAAACCAGUGGCGGGCUCGCUGUCACACCGGGCGUAGUAGAUUUUUCGUCUCGCCCAGGGCGUGCUGCGGGUUCCGGCCGUUAAAAAGCCUCUCUUUUAACCCAAGGUUGACCUCGGAUCAGGUAGGAAGACCCGCUGAACUUAAGC